CUCUCCUCCAGUCCUCCCUCGCUCUCCAUCUCGCUCCUAUCUAGAUCUACUCUAGUUUAGAGAUCAGAGGAGAGCUCUCAUCUCCAAACCCUAGCUUUUGCUCUGUCUAUAAAUAAUGAAUAAUGAUCAAGGGGGUGUUUCCUCCAGGGGCUAGGGGGUUUGGUUAUAUAGUCCCCUCAAGUGAAUCUAGGCCGUCGGAUCAAACCGACAUUGAUUGAAUGAUUAUUCUUGAUCCUUUAGGUCGGUGGAGCAUAAUCCCCGAGUUGUACCCUGAUUGGGCAGAAUAGGAGGGUGGGCGCCCUAAGGACUAGGGCGGGCGCCCUGUCCCUGAGCCCUCUCGGCUUCUGCUUUGUUCCCGUGGCUUCUGGAGUCUUCUAGAUGAUAGAAAAUUGCGCGACACGUUAAUAUCUCUAUGUAAACCUGACGUAUGGGCCUUUCUUCCGUAUUUCCUGAUAACCCCCUACAGAAAUAGACAAACACCAAAACUCGUGGAAUUCUGUCAGAUAAAACCCUAAGUCUGGGUGUUGGUUGCAUUUGGAUCCUUUUCUUUAUUUAUUUGAUGAUUAUAUUUGGUACUUAAGGACCGUCAACAAACUCCCCCAAGCUUACCUCUUGCUCGUCCCUGAGCAAGGAUGGACUCAAGAGUUUUUGCAGUGGUUUUAUGCCUUAAAGGUACUCAUGCGUUCAAACAAGAUCUCAUCUCUAGGUUAAGGUAAACUGUUAAGAUUUAAAACUUACUCAUUUUACCUUCCACCAUGGGGCUUGCAACCGUCACUUGUGUCUUGAGCAGUUAAAAGAUAGAAAAGGUACUCUGGAGUUUUUGUAGAUUUUCAAUUAAAACUAAGAGAUUCCUGUAUGACUCUCUCUAGUGUCUCUUUUGUGGUAUUUCUGGAUCCUUACCAAGGCAGUGAUGAUAUAUGCCUUCUCUCAAAGUAUGUGGUAUUUUUGGUAUGAGGCAUAGUGACAUUGCCUUCUCUCUCACCCUACUCUAAUAAGGUUUUGAUAUCUGGAGCUCAUAGGUGGGAGACAGCUAAUACAUACUUACAAGACAUUUAUUGCAUAGUCAAACCAUGGAUCCAGAGAAACAAGUCAAUAAGUCAAAUCAAGAUGUGCAUGUGUGGCGAAUGAAUGGUGUAUGGUGAUGAUGGUGAUAAUGGUGAAAACAAUGGUGAAAGUCUAAUUCUACUUUUGCUAUUUUGAGGGAAUACAUACCUUUCUCGCACUUUGAAGGUUUUUGAGAGGAAUAAGAUGCUCUAUAUUUUCUUUUUCUUUUCUCUUAGGUGGGUAUCCUGUACCCCUAAUUCUACUUGUCGGACACUUGUCCAUUUUUACCUCUCGUCUCACUUUUUUUUUCUUCGAGGUUCCAGGCACUUGCCCCUUUUUAUCUCCUCGUAUUAUUUAUUUUUUUCUUUUUUUUUCAGAGCACUCACCCUCCUAGAAUAAUGUAGCAAGUGGUAGUAACUAAAAUAUCAAGAGCAUUUAUUUCACGGGGAAUAACAGGGAUAGGAUAAUGUUUUUUGCUAUUCUCUCCUGGAUAGGAGUAGAAUAAUUUUAGGUGAAUCUGGAGAUGGAAAGGAGUGGAUGUAUGUGGAUGCGUACUUCUAGAGUAGAAGCAGCAUGUAUGAGUGAACGUGCAAGUGAAUGUUGAUUUUAACCGCAUGACAAGCUCCUAAGGGUCUACACAGCUUGACCACACUCAAUGCUCGUAAGCAGUAAAAAGUAAAUGUAUGGUUCAUAGUCUAAUAAGCAUGUAUAUAUGGCUGUGGUAGGAUUUUAAACUCUCAUCAUAGAGGAACUCAUCAUGCAACAUUUUAAAGAUUUUCAAAGAUAAAAUUCUCCAGAAUUCUAGCAUCUCUAGGAACAGAUAGUAGCUCAGCCUUCCCAUAUCAUAUCUGUUAACGACCUAGACUUUAGAUCAAGUACUCUUCCCAAAAGUUCAGGUUUAGAGCAAAUCUUAAUUCAUAACAGUCAUGCCUAAACUUGAGAGAGAAUUUAAUUUUGAGAACUAGUCAUGGCAGAGCAACUAUUCAUCAUUUCCAUAUGAGAGCUUAUCAUGAGGGUUCAUAGUAAACUUUAUUUAUUUAUUUAUUGAGCAAACUAAGCAAAGAUAUAUAUAAGCACAAAAUCUUUAUUUGGGUUUUUAUGAUUAUGCAUCUUUUUAUUAUUUGAGUAAAGUAUAAACGCGAGUAGAAACACAUAGCUGGAUAAUUGGGGGUGCUCUCCCCCAAGCUGGAUUUUGACGUAAUUUCUUCUGAUGUAGCUAGCAGGUGGCGGAGGUGUAUUUGAAUGUCGGCAGUACCCUGACAGCGAUUAGGAUGUCCUCCGUCUGCUAGUCUUCUUUGAUCCUUAAAUUCUGUGGAGCUCAAAUAGACAACAAAGCUUUGUGGAACUGGUUAAGUGUUAGCAUAAAUAUCUAGCCUUUAUCAUGUUGAGCCUCCUCAAUAAAUGUUGCUCUCUUUGGUAGGAUCAUAAAUUUAUUUUUAUAUUUUUAUUGUAAGAUGAAAACAUAUUUAUUUAUGCCACCACAGUCAAUAUACCUAUGGGUUUUAAACCACAAGUCUACUUUCAUGGUGCUUUAGAUUUUAUGAUGCAGUGCA
rnacentral:lncRNA from 1 species